UGGGGAAUAUUGGACAAUGGGCGCAAGCCUGAUCCAGCAAUGCCGCGUGAGUGAUGAAGGCCUUAGGGUUGUAAAGCUCUUUUACCCGGGAUGAUAAUGACAGUACCGGGAGAAUAAGCCCCGGCUAACUCCGUG
rnacentral:rRNA from 1 species